rnacentral:rRNA from 1 species
CGUACGGCUCCGUAACACGUGGUUAACCCGCCCUUGGGACGGAAACACUCCCGGGAAACUGGGAUUAUUCCCGAUAGGUGACGACGCCUGAACUGGUCCUGCACUCAAGGGGGUUGGGAUCAUGCUUUUGGAUCUCGCCCGAGGACAGAGCGCCGACCAUUCGGUUGUUUGGUGAGGUAAAGGCCUCACCAAGCCUAUAACCGGUACGGGCCCUGAGAGGGGAACCCCGGAAAUGGGAACUGAGACAAGGGCCCCAGGCCCUACGGGGCGCAGCAGGCGCGCAAACUCCGCAAUGCACGAAUGUGUGACGGGGUUACCCCGAGUGCCGUCCGAUGAGGAUGGCUUUUCUUCACUGUAAGGAGGCGGAGGAAUAAAGGGAGGGCAAGUCUGGUGUCAGCCGCCGCGGUAAUACCAGCUCUCCGAGUGGUAGGGAUGAUUAUUGGGCCUAAAGCGUCCGUAGCCGGCCUCUGAAGUCUUUCGUCAAAUCCGACGAUUCAAUCGUUGGACCGCGGAAGAUACUGCUAGGCUAGGGGACGGGAGAAGCCGACGGUAUUCUCUGGGUAGGGGUGAAAUCCUAUAAUCCAGGGAAGACCACCAGUGGCGUAGGCGGUCGACUAGAACGCGCUCGACGGUGAUGGACGAAAGCUGGGGGAGCGAACC